CUACGGGAGGCUGCAGUGGGGAAUAUUGGACAAUGGGGGAAACCCUGAUCCAGCAAUGCCGCGUGUGUGAAGAAGGCCUGCGGGUUGUAAAGCACUUUCGGUUGGGAGGACUGCUUCUAGCACUAAUAUUGUUGGAAGUUGACGUUACCUUCAGAAGAAGCACCGGCUAACUCCGUGCCAGCAGCCGCGGUAAUACGGAGGGUGCAAGAGUUAAUCGGAAUUACGGGGCGUAAAGCGCGCGUAGGCGGCUAGAUCAGUCGGGUGUGAAAGCCCCGGGCUUAACCUGGGAACUGCAUCCGAUACUGUCUAGCUUGAGUACAGGAGAGGAGAGUGGAAUUCCACAUGUAGCGGUGAAAUGCGUAGAUAUGUGGAGGAACACCAAUGGCGAAGGCAGCUCUCUGGCCUGAUACUGACGCUGAGGUGCGAAAGCGUGGGGAGCAAACAGGAUUAGAUACCCCGGUAGUC
rnacentral:rRNA from 1 species